GAGUGCCUGUGGGAGGCUCUGUGUGCAGUGACUGUGGAGAGAGAUUGUGCUCUGUGGGAGAGGACUCAGCUCCAAGCCAAGCUGGAGAACCUAGAGCAGGUGCUGAAGCAUAUGCGUGAGGCUGCUGAGAGGCGGCAGCAGUUAGAGUUGGAACAUGAACAGGCCCUGGCCGUCCUCAGUGCCAAGCAGCAGGAGAUCGACCUUCUGCAGAAGGCUCAGGUUGAGGCAAAGAAGGAACAUGAAGGCGCCGUCCAUUUGUUAGAGAAUCACUUGGACAGCAUGCAGGCGAAGGUGAGGGAGUUGGAGGAGCGAUGUCGGAGUCAGAGCGAGCAAUUUAACAUGCUUUCGAAGGAGUUGGAACGAUUCAGGGUGCAGGCUGGGAAGUUGGACCUGCUCGGGUCUGGACAUCUGACGGGAGGAGACUCGCCCGACUCGCCCAGCAAAACACCUUCACUUUGUGCUCUCCUCAACGGCUUGGGCAAGGGCAGCGAAGGAUCCUUGAGCAAGUCCGUGAUCUCGGAGUUCAUCCGACCUCUGCAGAUGAGCGCGGGAGAGAAGGCGGAGUUGCUGUCCGUCAAACCCAGCUUCCUGUCACGGAGCACGCCCUCCAGCCCCCGCCGAACCUGUCUUUCCGAGGUCCGGCCCAUCUUCACUGCUGCUAUGGAGAGAGAGUUGAACCUGUCUCCUCGUGCCAAGCCCAAGUACACGGGGAAGGUCCGCCUGUGUGUCGCACGCUAUAAUUAUAAUCCAUAUGACGGCCCUAAUGAGCAUCCCGAGGCUGAGCUCCCCCUGGUGGCCGGGAAGUACCUUUAUGUUUACGGGACCAUGGAUGAAGACGGCUUCUAUGAAGGGGAGCUGCUGGACGGCCAGCAAGGCCUCGUCCCUUCCAACUUCGUGGACUUCGUCCAUGAGGACGGCUUCGCCUCGUCCUCAAAAGAACCGUCCUACCUCAACUUCACCUUCAACCACAGCAGCAGCUCGGCGUCAGUACCUAGCAGCGCAGUGAGCACGCUCAGUACGCUGCUCUCAGAGAAACUGGAGGCCCUGAGCUCCUGCACGGGCACAGGGACGAGCAGCAGCAGCGGCGUGAGCAGCAUGGGAAUGGGCACCGAGCUGGGCGUCGUGGGUCCUGGUUUGGUUAACGAGCCCCCGGUGCAGUGCGGCACGAGCUCGAGCACAGCCUUGAUGGACGUGAACGUGGAUGAAGUCGGAGAAGACGUAGUGCCUUACCCACGGCGCCUGUUGCUUAUCAAACAGCUUGCAAAGAGUGUGAUCUUGAGCUGGGAUUCUCCUCUGGUGCCACCCAGCUGGGGAUCUGUCAGCGGCUAUAACGUGGUGGUGGACCAGGAAGUGCGUGCCAGCGUGCCAUGCAGCGCUCGCACCAAGUUUCUAGUGGAAAAGCUGAACCUGGCGUCAUGCGCCCAUCGCAUUUCGGUGCAGAGCCUGACGGAGCGUGGCACCUCGGACCCGCUGCGCUGUACGCUGAUGGUCGGGAAGGACGUCACUGUAGCACCGAGUCAGCUGCGCGUCGACAAGGUGACUCAGAACUCGGCCGAGCUCUCCUGGAUGCCCAGCGACAGCAACUACAGCCACAUGAUCUUCCUCGACGGAGCCGAGUACGACAUGGUCAAACCAGGGGGGUACAAAUACCGCUUCUACAACCUCAAACCAAUGACUGUGUACAAGGUGCGUGUGGUGGCGAGACCUCAUCAGAUACCCUGGCACUUAUCGUUAGAGCAGAGAGAGAAGGUGGAGAUCACUGUGGAGUUCUGCACGCACCCUGCUGGCCCGCCAUUCCCUCCACAAGACGUCCAGGUGCAUUGUGGGACAUCGCCAGGAGUGUUGCAGGUGCGCUGGAAGCCCCCUCCUCUCACACCAAGCGGCACCUCCAACGGCGCCAACGUCAUGGGCUACGUGGUCUGCACCAAAGGACAAAAGAUCGCAGAGGUGAUGUUUCCCACGGCGGAAUACGUGACAGUGGAGCUGAAUCGUAUCCAGUGUUUGGAAGCACACGAAGUUGUCGUACGCACCAUCUCAGCUCAAGGGGAGUCACAAGACUCCAACGCUGCCUGUAUCCCACACAACCUACUGCCAUCGUCCCGCCCUCCCCCUCCCCCCUUUCCUGGAAACUACCCACAGAGUUUCCCUCAACCACAACCGCCACCACCACCGUCCACACCACAUACACAGCCACCACCGCCUCACCCUCAACCGUCCACUCAGCUGUUUCCCAAACCCAAACUCCUCCCAAGUGCCCGAGAUGCCCACGCCAAAGAGCCAGAUGCAGUCAGGAGGCAGUGCCAGCCCUGGGAGCCUCACCAACGAGCCCCGUCACCCCUGCCACCCCAAACUGCCGGGGGUCACGGCCUUGAGCCACCAGCACCACCACCGCAUGUGACCCAGAGGAUCCUGCCCCAGCCUCAGGGAACACCGAUCUCCAACACGGUAGCACGCGCCAUGGCCAGGCAAGCGGCCCAGCGACAGGGCAGUAACCACAAGCCAGAGAGAAGGAACAUCUUCAGUGAGAGGAACGAUACUCCUCACUCGGACGAGGAGGACGAUGUUUACGACACGCCCCACACCAGGAGGAGAGGAGCCUCGGUGGAUGACUUUCUCAGGGGCUCUGAAAUGAGCAGACAUCACCACCACUACUCCCACAGCGACGACUACUACACGGAAAGCAGCCGAGGUUCGGAUCUGUCCGACAUCAUGGAGGAGGACGAGGAGGAUCUGUACUGCGAGAUGCAGCUGGAGGAAGGCCGGCGGCGGAGCAUCAGCUCGCACAACACACUCAAGGCAUACUACAGACGUCAGGACCUGAUGGAAGAGCAGGAUAGCUGUAACUGGGACCUGCAGCGGGAGGUGGUCCGCCAACGUUCGAUGCGCUCCCCUAAACGCCUUCAUAGCAUCCCCGAGGUAGCCGAGGAGGAGCAGGAGGCUGGUGCUGAGCAAAAAACACGGAAAGAGGAAAAGGCAAGAGAUUCUGAACGGCUGUCUGCAAACACCAAUAUUUUGAAGCAGUUCCAGCGACGCCGAUGCUUUUCAGCAGAGGACAGAAUCUCGGCCUGGAGCAGCAGGCAGAACACCAAAAGUCCAGACAGUGGCCUGGACUGCGGGAGUGAAGAUGAGAGCUCGAUGAUCCCCCGCGGCUGGACCUGGCAUUGCAGCAGCAUCCACAGUGAGGGCCCGGCAGAGCGCCGUGCACUAGCAACAGGCAGGAAGAGGACACUUACACGCCAGUGUGGCAUGGAAGAAGACGUCCUGGACACGGCGGCUGACCUGAGGGGGUCGUACCACCACUACUACCGCCCGCAUAUUUAUCACCAUCUUCACCAUCUCCAUCGGCCUCGGCACAGGUUCCGGAGCGAGAGCAGGCUGAGUGAGGUUGGCAGAAGCUAUAACAUGGACAUUAGGGCUCAUUCUGUGGCCAGACUCAACAGAGCUGUGGAUGAACCUCUGAUUUUAGGGAACUCUUCCUCCAUGGGACGCUCGGAUCGAUCGGAGCAUUCCGGCCGUCGGACGAGUCAUGGAUGUCCUCCCCCUCAGAGAAGGCCCAUGACGGUUCCAUCCAUUGAGAUCACAAUGGAGAAUAACUGUGAGGGGAGUGAGGGGAACCUCUCAUCUGUCAAGGAUGAUGUUUACUAUGGCAGUGUAGCGUGCCACAGGAAAUGCCGGCCACUACGAUCAGAGGAAACAUAUGGUGGUUACAGAGGACGGGACAGACGCUCGCCAGACUACUUUGACGAGUCAGAGACGGACAACAUGGCGAGGAUUUUUGUAGCUUUGUUUGACUAUGACCCCCAUUUAAUGUCCCCAAACCCUGAUGCUGCAGUAGAGGAGCUUCCCUUUAAAGAGGGCCAGAUCAUAAAGGUGUUUGGAGAGAAGGACAUAGACGGGUUCUACAGAGCAGAGGUCUGUGGCCGGAGAGGUCUCGUCCCCUGUAACAUGAUAUCCGAGAUCGAGACGGAGGACGGCGAGAUGAUGGAUCAACUUCUUCAACAGGGCUUCCUACCACUGAACACGCCGGUUGAAAAAAUCGUGAAUUGCGAUCGGUUCAAAGAUGGCCGCUCACUAAAUCGCAGGUUUCGGAAAUCUAAGAGAGAGCGGAACAGGAGGAGUGGACGGCACCCGAUGUCCACACGCAGGAUGGUGGCGCUGUAUGAUUAUGACCCCAGGGAGAGUUCCCCAAACGUGGAUGUAGAGGCUGAGCUGACCUUCUGUGCCGGAGAUGUAAUAAUGGUGUUUGGGGAAAUCGAUGAAGACGGGUUUUAUUAUGGCGAACUGAACGGGCACAGAGGUCUGGUGCCCUCCAACUUUCUGGAAGAAGUGCCUGACGACGUGGAGGUUUUCCUCACUGAGCCACAGGAUCACCCGGGCAGGACCAAGAGCAAAAGGAAGAAGAGCGUUCAUUUCACUCCGUAACGGCUCAGUGCACCUCACGUCCCUUGGCGAAGUUACCGUGCUGAAAGGUGAUAGAUUACAUCAGAGACUGGUUCCUGUGGAAAAAGCGUGGGGUUCUCCGAGAUGAAGUGACACCUCCAAGGUGCACCCCCACCUCCAUGGCUCUGGCCCCGCCUCCCAGGGGCCAGCGAGCCCCGCCACACGACGGCCCCGAGCCGAACCUAAGAAACAAGGAUUGCUCUCCAGAGGAAAGAAACUGUUGAAAAGACUUGGUGCUGUGAAAUAGGGGUGGAGUCAUUUUUCCAUCUUUUCUCCAUUUCUGUUAAGGAAUUUAAAUGGAGGGGAAAGAAGAAACGGAAACAGGUUGGAACUAGGGUUUUCAUGACCACUAUUCAAACUAGUCAAGCUUUAUACUCUUUUAAAUCAACCUGGAUUCCUAAUGAAAAUAGUUUAAAUAAACUUGGUUUAAAGGAAACUGUUUAAAUGAAAUUGUUUAAAUGAACCUGUUUAAAUGAAACUGGUUUAAAUGAACCUGUUUAAAUGAAACCUGUUUAAAUGAACCUGUUUAAAUGAACCUGGUUUAAAUUAACCUGUUUAAAUGAAACUGGUUUAAAUUAACCUGUUUAAAUGAAACUGGUUUAAAUGAACCUGUUUAAAUGAACCUGCUUUAAAUGAAACUGGUUUAAAUGAACCUGUUUAAAUGAACCUGGUUUAAAUUAACCUGUUUAAAUGAAACUGGUUUAAAUUAACCUGUUUAAAUGAAACUGGUUUAAAUGAACCUGUUUAAAUGAACCUUCUUUAAAUGAACCUGGUUUAAAUGAACCUGUUUAAAUGAAACUGGUUUAAUUGAACCUGUUUAAAUGAAACUGGUUUAAAUGAACUUGUUUAAAUGAACCUGUUUAAAUUAACCUGUUUAAAUUAACCUGGUUUAAAUGAACCUGUUUAAAUGAACCUGGUUUAAAUGAACCUGGUUUUCCGAAGCACUCAAAACAAGAUAUAAUAUACGGUUUUUCCUGUAUGUUUAAUGACAAAACCUCACUCUUCAUUGCCAUGUUUGAUCAUCUACACGGAAAGAAAAAAUAAUUUAUUUUCAAAUGAAUAUUACUGUUAAAUCAGUACAUUAUUUUUAUUAUAGUAUGGUCACAUUAGUAAAUAGUUUUCAGUAUUAAAGUGAGAAGUUGGCCAGAAAUGUCCUCCUUAAUAUAUGUGUGCUACAAGGCCAACGUUAUUAGCCCAGGAAGCCUGUAACCUCCGUUUCAGGAUUGUAUCAGUAUCUAGGAGCGUUACUCCUCGUUUCCCGAAGCCCUGAAAGAGAAAGAGAUAAAGAGCGAAGGCUCAACAAGUGUAGCACAAAUUUUAGAAGUAGGUUUGUAAAAUUAGUACAGAAAAUAUAUAGAUAUAUAGAUAGAUAUAUUUAUGGAGAGUAUAUAUAUGAAAUAACAUCAAUGCAACCCUCAGAAUUUAGUUUCCUAAUUUCCAUGUGGUCAUGAAACUCCUAGAGGGCGUCAGCCUCCUUUUACUUGCCUUAUAAACUGUGCACAACGCUCUGUGUCGCAUCUGAUCGAUAGGUGAGAUUCCGUCAUGUUUAUUUGUCCAUGUUACAGUACCUUGUCA